rnacentral:rRNA from 1 species
AGGAAUACCGGUGGCGAAGGCGGCCCCCUGGACGAAGACUGACGCUCAGGUGCGAAAGCGUGGGGAGCAAACAGGAUUAGAUACCCUGGUAGUCCACGCCGUAAACGAUGUCGACUUGGAGGUUGUGCCCUUGAGGCGUGGCUUCCGGAGCUAACGCGUUAAGUCGACCGCCUGGGGAGUACGGCCGCAAGGUUAAAACUCAAAUGAAUUGACGGGGGCCCGCACAAGCGGUGGAGCAUGUGGUUUAAUUCGAUGCAACGCGAAGAACC